GAUGAAGGAACGCAGCGAAAUGCGAUAAGUAGUGUGAAUUGCAGAAUUCAGUGAAUCAUCGAAUCUUUGAACGCACAUUGCGCCCCUUGGUAUUCCAUGGGGCAUGCCUGUUCGAGCGUCAUUUGUACCUUCAAGCUUUGCUUGGUGUUGGGUGUUUGUCUCGCCUCUGCGUGUAGACUCGCCUUAAAACAAUUGGCAGCCGGCGUAUUGAUUUCGGAGCGCAGUACAUCUCGCGCUUUGCACUCAUAACGACGACGUCCAAAAGUACAUUUUUACACUCUUGACCUCGGAUCAGGUAGGGAUACCCGCUGAACUUAAGCAUAUCAAUAAGCGGAGGA
rnacentral:misc_RNA from 1 species